AAGUCGAGCGGACCGACGGGAGCUUGCUCCCUUAGGUCAGCGGCGGACGGGUGAGUAACACGUGGGUAACCUGCCUGUAAGACUGGGAUAACUCCGGGAAACCGGGGCUAAUACCGGAUGCUUGAUUGAACCGCAUGGUUCAAUCAUAAAAGGUGGCUUUCAGCUACCACUUACAGAUGGACCCGCGGCGCAUUAGCUAGUUGGUGAGGUAACGGCUCACCAAGGCGACGAUGCGUAGCCGACCUGAGAGGGUGAUCGGCCACACUGGGACUGAGACACGGCCCAGACUCCUACGGGAGGCAGCAGUAGGGAAUCUUCCGCAAUGGACGAAAGUCUGACGGAGCAACGCCGCGUGAGUGAUGAAGGUUUUCGGAUCGUAAAACUCUGUUGUUAGGGAAGAACAAGUACCGUUCGAAUAGGGCGGCACCUUGACGGUACCUAACCAGAAAGCCACGGCUAACUACGUGCCAGCAGCCGCGGUAAUACGUAGGUGGCAAGCGUUGUCCGGAAUUAUUGGGCGUAAAGCGCGCGCAGGCGGUUUCUUAAGUCUGAUGUGAAAGCCCCCGGCUCAACCGGGGAGGGUCAUUGGAAACUGGGGACUUGAGUGCAGAAGAGGAGAGUGCGAUUCCACGCGUAGCGGUGAAAUGCGUAGAGAUGUGGAGGAACACCAGUGGCGAAGGCG
rnacentral:rRNA from 1 species